rnacentral:rRNA from 1 species
AAAUUGAAGAGUUUGAUCAUGGCUCAGAUUGAACGCUGGCGGCAGGCCUAACACAUGCAAGUCGAACGGUAACAGGAAGAAGCUUGCUUCUUUGCUGACGAGUGGCGGACGGGUGAGUAAUGUCUGGGAAACUGCCUGAUGGAGGGGGAUAACUACUGGAAACGGUAGCUAAUACCGCAUAACGUCGCAAGACCAAA